rnacentral:rRNA from 1 species
GAGGAAGGAGGGAGGGGGGAAGAAGAAAGGAAAGGCGAGAGAAAAGAGGAGGAGCUUGACGGGAUGAGGUUAGCGGCGGACGGGGGAGUAACACGUGGAUAAACGACCUAUAAGACUGGGAUAACUUGGGGAAACCGGAGCUAAUACCGGAUAAUAUAUUGAAAGGCAUGGUGCAAUAGUGAAAGACGGUUUUGGUGUCACUUAUAGAUGGAUCCGCGCCGCAUUAGCUAGUGGGUAAGGUAACGGCUGAGCAAGGCAACGAUGCGUAGCCGACCUGAGAGCGUGCUCGGCCACACUGGAACUGAGACACGGUCCAGACUCCUACCUGAGGCAGCAGUAGGGAAUCUUCCGACAUGGGCGAAAGCCUGACGGAGCAACGCCGCGUGGCUGCUGCAGGUCUUCGGAUCCUAACCCUCUUUUCUUCGGGAAGAACAAAUGUGUAAUUCCCUCUGCCCUUCUUGACGGUACCUACUCCUAAAUCCCCCUCUCCCUACGUG